rnacentral:tRNA from 1 species
AUUUAAAUAAUUUAAAUAAAAAUAUUGAUUUGUGGUAUCAAAGAUGUGAAUUUUCACUUUAAAUU